rnacentral:miRNA from 14 species
UUUCUCCUAGUUCAGGAGGCUGGCAAUUCCAAGAUCAAGGUGCCAGCAACUUAGGUUUCUGGUGAGAGGCCAUCCUGGCUUCUACACAGCUGGAUCCUAUUGUCUGCUCACCUGCCCUUU